rnacentral:misc_RNA from 1 species
CGAAAUGCGAUAAGUAAUGUGAAUUGCAGAAUUCAGUGAAUCAUCGAAUCUUUGAACGCACCUUGCGCUCCUUGGUAUUCCUUGGAGCAUGCCUGUUUGAGUAUCAUGAAAUCUUCAAAGUAAAUCUUUUGUUAACUCAAUUGGUUUCUACUUUGGUAUUGGAGGUCUUUGCAGCUUCACACCUGCUCCUCUUUGUUCAUUAGCUGGAUCUCAGUGUUAUGCUUGGUUCCACUCGGCGUGAUAAGUUAUCUAUCGCUGAGGACACUGUAAAAGGUGGCCAAGGUAAAUGCAGAUGCACCGCUUCUAAUAGUCCAUUGACUUGGACAAUACUUUUAUGAUCUGAUCUCAAAUCAGGUAGGACUACCCGCUGAACUUAAGC